GAAAAGAGUAGGGAGCAGGGGACCCACUUAUCCAACCAGCUUCCACCCAUUGAAAUGAAAUCCAAACCUUCAAAGCUCCCAUAGCAGAGCUGAAAACGAUCAAAACUCAUGGCUUCAACUUCUCUGCUUCCUAAAACCAUAUCCCCUUUUCUCACAAGCCCACCUUCGUCAUUUCCCUCUGCUCACUUCACCAAGCCAUCAUUCUUGAACCCAUUACCUGACUACCCUCCAUGCACUAGAAAAACAACCACCCUCACCUAUGCAAAGAAAAAGAACCCAUGGCUUGACCCUUUUGAUGAUGGAGAUGACCCUGAAAUGGAAUAUGGCUCAUUGUAUGCAGAUGGCAAGCAAGAGGAAGAUCCCAGGCCACCUGAUAACCCCAAUAAUCCAUAUGGGUUCCUCAAGUUCCCCAUGGGUUUCAAUGUGGAGAUUGCUUCUUUGGGAUUGAAAGUCAGAGGUGACGUUAGGAGGUGCUGCUGUGUGAUUUCUGGUGGUGUUUAUGAGAACUUGCUUUUCUUUCCUGCCAUUCAGUUGCUCAAGGAUAGGUACCCUGGUGUUCAAAUAGAUAUCGUGGCAUCACCAAGGGGGAAGCAGACUUAUGAGUUGAACAAGAAUGUGAGAUGGGCUACUGCUUAUGACCCUGAUGAUGAUUUCCCUGAGCCAGCAGAGUAUACUGACAUGCUUGGAGUUCUUAAGAAUAGGUACUAUGACAUGGUCUUAUCAACCAAACUGGCAGGGCUUGGCCAUGCAGCAUUCUUGUUUAUGACAUCCGCUAGGGAUAGAGUUAGCUACAUUUACCCAAAUGUAAAUGCAGCAGGCGCAGGGCUUCUCCUAUCGGAAACCUUUACUCCAGAUAGUAUGAAUCUUUCAGAAGGUGGAUAUCACAUGUAUCACCAGAUGAUUGAUUGGUUGGGAAGGCCUUUUCGAAGUGUGCCUAGGCAACCAUUGCCUCCACUAAAAGUUUCCAUUUCAAGGAAGCUGAAAGAAUUUGUAGAGGCAAAAUAUAGAGCUGCAGGUGCAGAGAAAGGAAAAUAUAUUGUAAUUCAUGGGAUAGAAUCAGAUUCAAAGGCCUCAAUGCAAUCUAGGGGGGACACUGAUAGCUUGCUGCCUCUCCAAGUUUGGGCUGAAAUAACUGACAAUAUAAGGGGUUUUAAGCCACUUUUCGUCAUUCCGCAUGAGAAAGAAAGGGAAAAUGUAGAGGAAACAGUUGGAGAUGAUACCAGCAUUGUCUUCAUCACUACUCCUGGACAGGUAUGUGUUUUCUUCCACUCAUUUUCUUCCAUUAAAUUUACAAAAAUCGCCAUCAACAUAUAUGAAUGCUCAUCUAUCACAUGAAUAUAUAGAAUGUUUUCUAUCAUUAGAUAGUAUCACUUCCAACAAAAAUGCUUGCACAAGUCUUGCAAUAAAUAGUAAGACAAUUUUUGGGUUAGUUUAUAAAUUUCAUGCUAGAAACAUUAAUUAUUGAUCUUUCUGUUUCAGUUGGCAGCUCUCAUCAAUGACUCAGCUGGAGUAAUAGCUACAAACACAGCAGCCAUCCAACUUGCAAAUGCACGUGAGAAACCUAGGUAAUUUCUUUGCUAAAAAUAACUCAUCUAACCUGAUUGAUUAAUAUCUGCAUAUUCUCCUGAUUUAAAUUUGAAGACAUAAAGCUACCAUUGAUUAGUAUCUGCGUGUGUGUUUUGCACUAAAAUUUAUGUAUGUACAGUAGAAUAUAGUUAUGUGUCAUGUCAAUAAUUUUCAGAAUACAAUCUAGGAGUAUUACAUAGAAUUUGAAGAGGUGACCCUGAUUGGUGUUAGUGGUGACACUUUUGCAGCAUUGCACUGUUUUCAUCUGAAGAGAAAGGUAAACUAUUUGUUCCCAAUGCAGCAGAAAAGAAAUGCACUAUUGUCUCAUCUAAGACGGGCAAACUGAAAGACAUUGGUGUUGAAGAUAUAAAACAGGCAAUGCAAAUUUUAGAUCUAUCCCUGGCUCUGGCACAGGCAUAGAUGAAAAAAGAGACUCAAUUUUCCUUCUCUAUCUCUUCUUUUUUUUUUUUAAUUUCAUUUCAUUUUUCCCCUUCCUCUCCUCUCCCAAUCUUUAACUUCUAUUUGUACAUGGAAGGACAAGCGUUGGAAAAUCACAUUGACAGAUAGAUUUGAUAGUGUCAAUUUGCAAAAUAGAUUUCAAAGAACAUGGCAAAUGAAUGUCAAGUUUUAUAGGUUUAAAC
rnacentral:misc_RNA from 1 species